rnacentral:rRNA from 1 species
ACGAAGGGUGCAAGCGUUACUCGGAAUUACUGGGCGUAAAGCGUGCGUAGGUGGUUGUUUAAGUCUGUUGUGAAAGCCCUGGGCUCAACCUGGGAAUUGCAGUGGAUACUGGGCGACUAGAGUGUGGUAGAGGGUAGUGGAAUUCCCGGUGUAGCAGUGAAAUGCGUAGAGAUCGGGAGGAACAUCCAUGGCGAAGGCAGCUACCUGGACCAACACUGACACUGAGGCACGAAAGCGUGGGGAGCAAACAGGAUUA